GAUGAACGCUAGCUACAGGCUUAACACAUGCAAGUCGAGGGGAAACGACAGAGGAAGCUUGCUUCCUUGGGCGUCGACCGGCGCACGGGUGAGUAACGCGUAUCCAACCUACCCUUGUCCAUCGGAUAACCCGUCGAAAGGCGGCCUAACACGAUAUGCGGUUCACAGCAGGCAUCUAACGUGAACGAAAUGUGAAGGAGAAGGAUGGGGAUGCGUCUGAUUAGCUUGUUGGCGGGGUAACGGCCCACCAAGGCUACGAUCAGUAGGGGUUCUGAGAGGAAGGUCCCCCACAUUGGAACUGAGACACGGUCCAAACUCCUACGGGAGGCAGCAGUGAGGAAUAUUGGUCAAUGGGCGAGAGCCUGAACCAGCCAAGUAGCGUGCAGGAAGACGGCCCUAUGGGUUGUAAACUGCUUUUAUAGGGGAAUAAAGUGAUCCACGUGUGGUUUUUUGCAUGUACCCUAUGAAUAAGGACCGGCUAAUUCCGUG
rnacentral:rRNA from 1 species